UUUUCGCACUCUGGAGAGCGGCAGUAGCCGUCUGCAUCGCAAUGUCGUGCAGAUCCGGCAAGCUGCCCACCGAAGGGGCGCGCGUUCCGCCGUGACGAAUCAACGUCGCCGCGGCAGCGCAAUCUCUCAGGUAUCGAGGACAGAGGGGCCAUG
rnacentral:ncRNA from 2 species